CUGCAGUGCUGCAUUAAAAAGCAACUAAAAAUGGAAUCAUAUAGGGCAUAUUUAUUGUAUUUCUGUGACUGCAGCAGUUAUUCACUGAUUUUCUAGCACACUGCAGUAUUCGGGAUUACCAUUGUGGGCUGUCCUAUUUCAUCCCACAGGAUGACUCAGUCAGAAGCGCUACUCUUCUGAAGCCUCUGUGGAGGAUCAGGCUCUUUGAUAGUUGUACUGAUGAGGGGGCAUGAGCUAUAUUAGCAUCCAGCUACCUGAUGUAGUGCUAGUUUAGCUUUGACAACCUAGCACUAGGAUGACAAUCCUAAACCAGACUGUAGAGUUAGUGCAUAUAACACUGAAUACUUAUAGGGUUACGACUGACCAAAUGAGGAAUGUGUCAGGAUGAAGGCUGAACUGAUGAUUAAGGUCAGAAAGAUUGGGGUUUGACAUCAGCUGUGAGAUCUUUGUUUGACCUUGUGUUCAAGGUCAUACCAGAGCUUUGGUUUCCAUCUGCAGGGUCCUUGGCAUUGCAGAGUAAACGUGUGGGAUACAGGACUCUACUCAGCUUGGAACCCUUGGAACUGCAGCCCAACAGAAAACUCCCAUCUCAGAUUUGGCCAGGAUGACUUCAAGUCCUUGAAAGCAGGUGCAAGGAAUGCUUUCCAGCAGCCCUACUCAAUUCCUCUCAGGAGGGGCAUGCUUGGUGCACCCAUCACAGCCCCUGGAUCCUCAGUGGACAUGGCCAGGCCCUCAAUAUGCAUUCAGAGGCAUUUGUCUGAGUUUGCACAGUUGAAUGGUGUGGAGGACAGAGCCAUGGUGGGGAAAAGAAUGAAGAACAAUUAGAAGAUGUGAUAUCCAGGGAGCAGCAUGGGAAAUUCAGCCAGAGCUGAAGGUAAGAAGUGGAGGCAGGAAUUCAGGAAUUCCUCUGAGUCUGCAGCAUGGGAGGAGAUUGUUUUGCUUUAUAUGAACUAUGAGUGCACUUUUG
rnacentral:lncRNA from 1 species